UGCGUAGGUGGCGCCGUAAGUCAGGUGUGAAAUUUCGGAGCUUAACUCCGAAACUGCAUUUGAUACUGCGGUGCUUGAGGACUGGAGAGGAGACUGGAAUUCAUGGUGUAGCAGUGAAAUGCGUAGAGAUCAUGAGGAAGACCAGUGGCGAAGGCGGGUCUCUGGACAGUUCCUGACACUGAGACACGAAGGCCAGGGGAGCAAACG
rnacentral:rRNA from 1 species